rnacentral:rRNA from 1 species
GAUGAACGCUGGCGGCGUGCCUAAUACAUGCAAGUCGAGCGAACGGACGAGAAGCCUGCUUCUCUGAUGUUAGCGGCGGACGGGUGAGUAACACGUGGAUAACCUACCUAUAAGACUGGGAUAACUUCGGGAAACCGGAGCUAAUACCGGAUGAUAUUUUGAACCGCAUGGUUCAAAAGUGAAAGACGGUCUUGCUGUCACUUAUAGAUGGAUCCGCGCUGCAUUAGCUAGUUGGUAAGGUAACGGCUUACCAAGGCAACGAUGCAUAGCCGACCUGAGAGGGUGAUCGGCCACACUGGAACUGAGACACGGUCCAGACUCCUACGGGAGGCAGCAGUAGGGAAUCUUCCGCAAUGGGCGAAAGCCUGACGGAGCAACGCCGCGUGAGUGAUGAAGGUCUUCGGAUCGUAAAACUCUGUUAUUAGGGAAGAACAUAUGUGUAAGUAACUGUGCACAUCUUGACGGUACCUAAUCAGAAAGCCACGGCUAACUACGUG